AAACUUUCAACAACGGAUCUCUUGGUUCUCGCAUCGAUGAAGAGCGCAGCGAAAUGCGAUACCUAGUGUGAAUUGCAGCCAUCGUGAAUCAUCGAGUUCUUGAACGCACAUUGCGCCCUCUGGUAUUCCGGAGGGCAUGCCUGUUUGAGCGUCGUUU
rnacentral:rRNA from 1 species